AGACUUGAAAUGGGGGAAACCCUGAUGCAGCAACGCCGCGUGAACGAUGAAGGCCUUAGGGUUGUAAAGUUCUGAUCUGUGGGAAGAAGAAGUGCCGGUACCACAGGAGAAAGCCCCGGCUAAAUACGUGCCAGCAGCCGCGGUAAUACGUAUGGGGCAAGCGUUAUCCGGAAUUAUUGGGCGUAAAGAGUGCGUAGGUGGUUACCUAAGCGCAAGGUUUAAUCUUGAGGCUCAACCUCAUUCUGCCUUGCGAACUGGGCUACUUGAGUGCAGGAGGGGAAAGCGGAAUUCCCAGUGUAGCGGUGAAAUGCGUAGAUAUUGGGAAGAACACCGGUGGCGAAGGCGGCUUUCUGGACUGUAACUGACACUGAGGCACGAAAGCGUGGGGAGCAAACAGGAUUAGAUACCCU
rnacentral:rRNA from 1 species